rnacentral:rRNA from 1 species
UACAGAGGCCUCGAGCGUUGUUCGGAAUUACUGGGCGUAAAGCGCACGUAGGCGGCUUUGUAAGUUAGAGGUGAAAGCCCAGGGCUUAACCCUGGAAUUGCCUUUAAGACUGCAUCGCUAGAAUCGUGGAGAGGUGAGUGGAAUUCCGAGUGUAGAGGUGAAAUUCGUAGAUAUUCGGAAGAACACCAGUGGCGAAGGCGACUCACUGGACACGUAUUGACGCUGAGGUGCGAAAGCGUGGGGAGCAAACAGG